AGAUGCUCCUUAAACAGGGCGAGCCCUGCGCUCCGGGGAGGUGGUGGCGUGACCUCUGACCCCGUGGGACCGGCCAGGGCCCUGAAGGAGCAGCGAGCGAGGUCUCGGCGGUGUCAGGCCGAGGGGCUCGCCCGCCCGCACGGGAGGCCCUGACGCCGAGACCCGCCGAGACCCGCCGAGACCGUGGAAGGUUCGAGGCUCCCCCCGCCGCUGGACGCAGGACCACGCGACCCGUGCCUCCCAGUUCCGCAGGUUCAAAAUCGUGGAGAAGUAUCCUGAUUCCUAGAGAUUCAUGGGGACCAACAGAUGGAGUCCAGGAAGUAGGGUUUAUACAAACUGUUGCUAGAAGCCUAGAUGAGUGCGGGCCCUCCUGUCAGAAGAAGAGAACAACGUGCCUAAAACUAGGAAAUGGGAGCUAGUUCCAGGGAGAUGGAGCCGUGGUCAUCUCCAGAGUGUGGCAAGCAUCGCACGGUGCUGUAUUUAUAAGGAAGAAAUAAUAAGUACUGUGAAUUGUUGUGUUGUUUAAACUAAUGAGGAGGGAUCCCUGGGUGGCGCAGCGGUUUGGCGCCUGCCUUUGGCCCAGGGCACGAUCCUGGAGACCCAGGAUCGAAUCCCACGUCAGGCUCCCGGUGCAUGGAGCCUGCUUCUCCCUCUGUGUCUCUGCCUCUCUCUCUGUGUGUGUGUGACUAUCAUGAAUAAAAAACAAAACAAAAAAAAUUUAAACUAAUGA
rnacentral:lncRNA from 1 species